rnacentral:lncRNA from 1 species
AAAUCUCAUUUCCAUAUAUCCUGUUUCACUCUCUCUGCAUUAUGCAUAAUAACAGGUGGCAGGUUUGGGAACUUCAAAGAACUCGAGCUCUUAAGAAGGGAAUAAUCUUGCAUUUUGAAUUAGUUUUAGAACGGACACAAAUCUUAGUUUUUUCACUGUAAUGUUAUCAUUCCUAUCUUUCCUCAACUAUCUCUCUCUUUCCUCAACUAUCUCUCUCUUUCCUCGUCCUUCAAGGGGACAAGGAGAAUCAGACAAACACUUGGAUUACCCAGGAGAAGAAGCACCAGAUCUCAGGAACGGACGCCUCGUCAUAACAAGGUGAAUAGUGUUGGUUGUGUGUUGAACAGCAUGAUUAUGACAGCAUACAGAACAUACAGUUUAAAUGUGAAUGCCUGUCUCACCUAACCAUGUCUUCCAGAUCGCCCAGUGACCAGACAUUGCCAGGAGACCCUACCCUAACAAGUAUGUAUGAUGUCACAGUGAAGUGUACGUGUGUAGGCCUAUUAUUAUAGAGAUAUUUACCACAGUCCCGUUUUAACAGCACAUUUCUGUGAUUCUGUUAACACAGCAAGUGACACAACAUAUCCUGUAGAAUCUCAACAGGAAAAGAAGACAUGACAUAAUUAUGUUUUUAUGUAGCUGCCUCACACUCUUCCUCUACUUUACCACUAUAGUGCUUUUUUGGUUUUCUGUGCA